GACUUAAUGAAGCACAGUGGACCAACACCAGCAGAUCACAUGGCUCUCCAAAUCAACACAGACUGUGGAAACUUCACACUGGACUUAAAGCAUCUUGCAGUCUGUGCCUCUCCAUUCUUCCUCCAGACUCUGGGUCCUUGGUUUCCAAAUGAGAUGCAAAAGUUGCUCUCAUCAGAAAAGCGGACUUUGGACUACUGAGCAACAGGUCUGUUUUUCUUUAGCCCAGGUAAGACACUUCUGACAUUUUGUUGUUCAGGAGCGGCUUGACAAG